rnacentral:rRNA from 1 species
UACGUAGGGUGCGAGCGUUGUCCGGAAUUAUUGGGCGUAAAGAGCUCGUAGGCGGUGUGUCACGUCGGCCGUGAAAACCUGCAGCUUAACUGUGGGCGUGCGGUCGAUACGGGCAUCACUGGAGUUCGGCAGGGGAGACUGGAAUUCCUGGUGUAGCGGUGAAAUGCGCAGAUAUCAGGAGGAACACCGGUGGCGAAGGCGGUUCUCUGGGCAUUACCUGACGCUGGAGGAGCGAAAGUGUGGGGAGCGAACAGG